rnacentral:rRNA from 1 species
AUGGCAACGCCGCGGCCGGAGCUGCUCUCGCCGGGUGAGGAUGAGGAGGAGAGCGCGCGGGGGCUUCUCUAUGAGGCGUACAACGAGCUGCAGCGUCUGGCGGCCGAGCUGGGUGGCGCAGCGGUGCCGGCACCAGCGGUGGUGGUGGUCGGCCACCAGACGGACGGGAAGAGCGCGCUGGUCGAGGCACUCAUGGGGUUCCAAUUCAACCACGUCGGUGGCGGCACCAAGACCCGUCGACCCAUCGCGCUCCAUCUCCGCUUCAACCCGCGCUGCCACUCCCCUAACUGCCGACUCCUCGCCGGCUCGGGCGAGGGGGACGCAGAGGACGACGCCGGGGCUGCUGACCGCGCAAUGCCGCUCGCCGACAUCCAGGCAUAUAUUGAAGCUGAAAACAAGAGGCUGGAGAAUGAUCCUUCCCAAUUUUCAGCGAAGGAAAUUAUAAUAAGGAUAGAAUAUAAACAUUGCCCCAAUCUCACCAUUAUUGACACUCCAGGUCUCAUUCUUGCAGCUCCUGGCCGUAAAAACCGAGUUUUGCAGAGUCAGGCUUGUGCUGUUGAGGCCCUUGUUCAUGCGAAAAUCCAGCAUAAAGAAACCAUAAUUCUGUGCCUUGAAGAUUGUAGUGAUUGGAGCAAUGCAACUACAAGGAGAGUGGUGAUGCAGGUUGAUCCUGAUCUUGCAAGGACUGUUCUAGUCUCCACAAAACUUGACACGAAAAUUCCACAAUUCGCACGUGCCUCUGAUGUUGAAGUGUUUCUUCACCCACCAACUUGUGUUCUAGAUGGUUCCUUAUUGGGAGAUUCUCCCUUUUUCACAUCAGUGCCUUCUGGGAGAGUUGGUUCUUGCCAUGAAGCUGUCUUCAGAUCAAAUGAAGAGUUUAAGAAGGCGAUCUCACUGAGAGAAUUGGAUGAUGUUACAUCUCUUGAAGACAAGCUAGGAAGGUCACUUACAAGGGAGGAGAAGAACAGGAUAGGAGUGAGUAACUUAAGAUUAUUUUUGGAAGAAUUGCUGCAGAACAGGUACAUCGAGAGUGUUCCGUCGAUUAUUCCACUUCUUGAGAAGGAACAUCGCGCUGCAUCGAGGAAGUUGCGCAAAGUCACACAAGAAAUCAGUGAUUUGGACGAAGCAAAACUAAAGGAGAAAGCUCGCCUGUUCCAUGAUUCAUUUUUGACAAAGUUAUCUUUGCUACUGAAAGGCAUGGUGGUGGCACCUCCUGAUAAGUUUGGAGAAACUUUAAUUAAUGAGAGGAUCAAUGGAGGAACAUUUACUGGAAGCGAGAAUUUCCAGCUCCCAAACAAGAUGAUGGCUAAUGCUGGAAUGCGUCUUUACGGUGGUGCACAAUACCAUCGGGCAAUGGCUGAAUUUCGUCUGGUUGUUGGAAGUAUCAAGUGCCCCCCGAUUACUAGGGAGGAAAUAGUCAACGCCUGUGGUGUUGAAGAUAUUCAUGAUGGGACGAAUUACUCCAGGACUGCUUGUGUAAUUGCUGUGGCAAAAGCAUGCGACACAUUUGAGCCUUUCCUUCAUCAGUUGAGUUUUAGGCUGUUGUACAUACUGAAAAGACUGAGUCCGAUAUCUGUUUUUCUGCUGGAGAAGGAUGGUGAGCACUUUAGCAGCCAUGAUGUACUUGUGAAGCGUGUCCAAGCUGCUUUCAACAGGUUUGCUGAAUCUACCGAGCAAUCUUGCCGUGAAAGAUGUAUGGAAGAUUUGGAGAGCACCACUCGUUAUGUUACUUGGUCCCUUCACAACAAGAACCGUGCCGGAUUGCGACAUUUUCUGGAUUCGUUUGUUGCACCGGAGCAAUUAUGUGCUAACACACAUACUGCCCACUCAGCUGGGCUGCAUGAGCAAUCCACUGGUUUGAAUGACAGUAAGCAGGAUAGACCAAAGGGAGAGCUGAAAUCUAGUCAUACUUCAGACUCAAAUCCAUCCGGUGGUGUGUCAGAAACGAGACUGGUGGAUCUCUUGGACAAUACGCUGUGGAACCGAAGGCUGGCGCCCUCAUCUGAGCGUCUUGUGUAUGCACUGGUUCACCAGAUUUUUCAUGGGAUCAAAGAGCAUUUUCUUGUCACUACAGAACUAAAGUUCAAUUGCUUCCUCCUGAUGCCAAUUGUUGACAAAUUAGCGGCUCUUCUACGAGAAGACCUUGAAUCAGCGUUUGAAGACGAUCUUGACAGCAUCUUCAGCGUCACCGAGCUGCGCCACUCACUUGGGCAGAAGAAGCGAGAGCUGGAAAUCGAAUUGAAGCAGAUGAAGCGUUUAAAAGAGAAAUUCACAGAAAUAAAUAAGAAGCUCAAUUCUCUCCAGGUUAGACAACAGGCCUAG